GACGAACGCUGGCGGCGUGCUUAACACAUGCGAGUCGAACGGAAAGGCCCUGCUUUUGUGGGGUGCUCGAGUGGCGAACGGGUGAGUAACACGUGAGUAACCUGCCCUUGACUUUGGGAUAACUUCAGGAAACUGGGGCUAAUACCGGAUAGGAGCUCCUGCUGCAUGGUGGGGGUUGGAAAGUUUCGGCGGUUGGGGAUGGACUCGCGGCUUAUCAGCUUGUUGGUGGGGUAGUGGCUUACCAAGGCUUUGACGGGUAGCCGGCCUGAGAGGGUGACCGGCCACAUGGGGACUGAGAUACGGCCCAGACUCCUACGGGAGGCAGCAGUGGGGAAUAUUGCACAAUGGGCGGAAGCCUGAUGCAGCAACGCCGCGUGCGGAUGACGGCCUUCGGGUUGUAAACCGCUUUCGCCUGUGACGAAGCGUGAGUGACGGUAAUGGGUAAAGAAGCACCGGCUAACUACGUG
rnacentral:rRNA from 1 species